AGGUUGCCCUACGGGUUGCUGUGCCUGGCCGUCCUUUUGGGCAAAGGAUGCACACCGACGAGAGGGCAGCACCUAUUGUGUGCUUGCCCUCGCUACGACGUACAACGCCUCUCUUCAGGACAGUUUUAAACUGACUGGCCUCGAGACCAUUCCCUGAUCAAAGGUACUCGGACCGUGGCCACACCCGUCACUGGCACAAAAAAGGCACAGUCAUUGCUCACAGUUCAGGCCGGCAACCACUGGCGAGGAAAUAAAGACAAAUAAUGAUGGGGGAGUGUGUCGUUCAUUUCGGAAAUUGACAACAGGCUUGUACGCCACGCAAUUCAUUAUGCAAUAAAGUAUCCUUGCUUUAGACCACAUGUAAAGGAACCUGUCCAUUAUAUAUAAAGUACAGUCACAAAUACAAGGUUUCAUGUGAUCACCAAUGCUGGUACACUUCAAUGCCGUCCGAACAGCAUCAUGAGGUACAUUGUCGAGCGCUGCUUUAACAUCCAUGAGUACAGCUAGUGGGAAACAGUUGUAUUGUGUUUGACGUAGUUAACAAAGGCAAAGACGUUACUAAUGCUGCUGCGACAUUUUUGCAACUUCACAGCUAUGGAUGAUAAGCGUUCUGGUUUACUAUAUCCCUGUUUCGACGCAGAACAAUCUUCUCCAUUAGUUGACCAAUACAACUGAGGAAGGCACUAUGUCGAUAUGAAUGAAGGCCUGUUGGGUGCUUGACCAGUUUGAAGAUGGCAUUACACGCGCAUGUACAAGUUGAUUCCUAAAUGACCGGCACUUGAUUUGUCAUUGUUAAGCAGCUGAGCCUUAGCUUUUCUAUCGAGGUCACACACAUGGUGCGAUUUUAGCUUUCGGAGCGGUGCUUGUACGGCAGACGAGGUUAGACAGGCAGGCUGGGUCCGCAAUUGUUCCACCAGAGUGUCUCUUUGCGCGGCGUCAUUAUGUGUCACCAUGAGUCCAUCAAUUUAGUC